AGUGGAAUUGCUGGGUCAAAUGGCAAGUCUAUGUUUAACUGUUUGAGGAAUUGUCAGUCUAUUUUCCAAAGUGACUGCACCAUUUUACAAUCCCCCCAGCAGU
rnacentral:pre_miRNA from 1 species